AGCCUCUGCACCAACAGGCAACUAAGCUUCUUCAAUGUUCAAUAUCAUAGACAAUGAACACAGCAGCAAAUUGGUAAGAUAAAUUCUCCCUUUACUGUAAAUUUCUCGUGCCAUGCCAUGGAUAUUCAUUACUUGAAUUCAUUGUAUCAUACAGUUUAGAGCAAGAUUUGAUAAUGAAAAGAAAGGAAAAGGAAAAACCUCGGAUACCAUCUGGUCGCUGUGAAGAGGAGGAGGAGCCCAUAGCACGGAUAGAAGACGAUGAAAGCUUUUCGUUCUUGGCCGCUCUGAAAAUUGGAGGAGAAGCUAGCAGAGGCCCGUGGGGGGAUGGGUAUGCUUCUGAUUCUGCAAUCUUAGCCGUUUGAUGGAAUCUUAGAGAUGAUUGAUGGAAUAUGGAUGGUUAGAUUGGGAAGGAGGAAACGGAUGUUGUGAGCUGGGAAGCAUUUGAGUGGGUGGAUGAGAACAAGCCCUGUCUUAGCAGAAGUGGAUAUGUGUUGGCCACGUUUAUUCCCUUGGAACUGCAUGAUUAUGAUUGUUCCAUAUUGAACGAGUAUCAAUUAUGUUCUUAAGUUUCCAUUGGUGGGAGAAGUGAGUUAUACAAACAAAUGUUCCAUAUUAGAAUCAUUCAAGAUCGGUAGGAUCAAUCUUACUUAUGAAAUGAUUCGAAUCUCAAACAAAUAUUUUUGCCUUGAGAUAUUCAAUCAACAAAGUAAUCCAAAUCUCACUUCCUUGUAGUUCCUUA